UACGAAGGGGGCUAGCGUUGCUCGGAAUCACUGGGCGUAAAGCGCACGUAGGCGGCUUCUUAAGUCAGGGGUGAAAUCCUGGAGCUCAACUCCAGAACUGCCUUUGAUACUGGGAAGCUUGAGUCCGGGAGAGGUGAGUGGAACUGCGAGUGUAGAGGUGAAAUUCGUAGAUAUUCGGAAGAACACCAGUGGCGAAGGCGGCUCACUGGUCCGGUACUGACGCUGAUGUGCGAAAGCGUGGGGAGCAAACAGG
rnacentral:rRNA from 1 species